rnacentral:lncRNA from 1 species
GAUAUUAAGAAUUCCUAAAAGUCUUUCAUUAGGAAGAGUAUGAGAAUGGUCAUGAUUCUAAUGAAGAAAAAAGGACAUCUGUUCCCAUAAAUUCCAUAAUGUGCAGGCAUGUGGCUUCAGCCAAAAUGUGCUGGAAACAAUCCAGUGUCUCCUUGUGAUAACAUUCCUAGUUGAGUGUCCUGGGAUGGAUAACCUGUCAAGAUAUCUGACUAGAGGCAUUCAAAACUAGCCUCUUCCACAAUGUACAACUGAAACAACAAAUAGAUAACUACAUGACAAAUAAUGUAUCUAAGAGAGAAACUGGAAUUCAGCAAGGAAGUGAUGAAGACCCUUUGAUUCACAGAAACUCAGGAUGGCAGUGCAGAGAAAGAGGUAA